UAUUUCAUUUGACUUGUGUUGCUGCUAUGGACCCCUAUGAGCCGAAACUGGACUGCACGGAGUUCAACCCAGAUGAAAUUAUUGUAAAAGUUGUAGGGAGGGACACUAUAGUUGAGGCAA